AAGUCGUAACAAGGUUUCCGUAGGUGAACCUGCGGAAGGAUCAUUAUCGUAUCUCGGACGUCCGACCGACGCCCUGCUCCGGUCGAAAGGCCGUGCAGCGGGCCGAGGGAGGCGUUCAACCUUCACAAACCACUGUGCACCUUCACGGCUCAGGCUCCCGGGCGAGAGCUCGGUUGCCGACGCCGUACCAACAAACACUUGUCUUUAGAAUGUUCAGCGACUCAGUCGCCCAUUAAACGAAACAACUUUCAACAACGGAUCUCUUGGCUCUC
rnacentral:misc_RNA from 1 species